GAUGAACGCUGGCGGCGUGCCUAAUACAUGCAAGUCGAGCGAACAGAUAAGGAGCUUGCUCCUUUGACGUUAGCGGCGGUCGGGUGAGUAACACGUGGGUAACCUACCUAUAAGACUGGAAUAACUCCGGGAAACCGGGGCUAAUGCCGGAUAACAUUUAGAACCGCAUGGUUCUAAAGUGAAAGAUGGUUUUGCUAUCACUUAUAGAUGGACCCGCGCCGUAUUAGCUAGUUGGUAAGGUAACGGCUUACCAAGGCAACGAUACGUAGCCGACCUGAGAGGGUGAUCGGCCACACUGGAACUGAGACACGGCCCAGACUCCUACGGGAGGCAGCAGUAGGGAAUCUUCCGCAAUGGGCGAAAGCCUGACGGAGCAACGCCGCGUGAGUGAUGAAGGUCUUCGGAUCGUAAAACUCUGUUAUUAGGGAAGAACAAAUGUGUAAGUAACUGUGCACGUCUUGACGGUACCUAAUCAGAAAGCCACGGCUAACUACGUG
rnacentral:rRNA from 1 species